GAUGCUGCAGGCGUCAGUGCGGCUUCCCACUAGGCGCGUGGUACCCGAGGCCGGGCCGGAGCCGCAGGCCAGCCGCGAUUCCUUCGGGCGAUGCUGGGGGCUUUCCGGUCGGGGCCGCAGCCGCUUCCGGAGCCGCGGGCGAGGUGCGUUCCCCAGCCUGGUUUGCUCUGGGCUCUGACCCGCCGCCGCGAAUCUCCGCUCGUAACUCCGGGCCUGAACCUGGAGGAGGGAGGAUUUCCUCUGUGCAGCUUUCGAGCGGUAGACUCACCCUGCCAGGCAGACCUAGAUUGGCAUAACCAGAGAUCAGUUCCAGUUGUGAUGCAGUGGGUGUCUACACACUUCUGAUGACACCUUUAUUUUAAAAGCUGAUGUUCCAAGGUGCAAGCGGUCUUCUCUGUCUUCUUUAUGGCCAGUAAAAUUCUCCAGAAGAGAUUUAUGGCAGCCUCACUCCCAGUAGUUUCUGCAUUUAGUGAGAUAAGGAAUGGAUUUUCUUCUGUGUAUUGCUGACACGAACAGGAGACGGAAAUACUGAGUAGAAGAGGGCGGUUCCCUGGCUAAGGCCCCACCCUCAAGCCUGGAUACCCGCGGCCCUAAAUGAGAAGAGGCGUUUCUGUUUGGGGCCCAAAAAGUUGCUUUUUGACCCACCACGCCCCCUAUCCUGCCCCCAUAUAAACCCCAAACCCCAACCUCCAGAGCAUACCAGCAGGUGAGGAGAUACGAGGCAAGCCGACUGACGGCAAAACGACGUAGCAGAGAAAGAGAGAAGAGGAGGGACGUCUGGACACCGAGAGAUGUUUGGCUCGGGGCAGUCAGAGCGGAGUCCAGCCCCUGGGCGGCCCAACUCCAGGGGAAGAUCACCUUCCCACUUCAUCCAUCCCCACCCUUCCAGCUCCCCAUCCAUCCUGCUGAAAGCCAUUUCCACCACUCAAUAAAACCUCGCAUUCAUCCUUCAAGUCCGUGUGUGACCCGAUUUUUCCUGGAUUCUGGAAAAGAGCUCGGAAUACAGAAAGCUGUCCCCUGGUCCUUUGCCCUUGUGAAAAAGCAGAAGGUCCAUUGAGCUGGUUAACACUCCAGCUGUCUGUGGUGGCCAAGCUGAAAGAGCUUUGUAACACUGGGGUUGCAGGCACCCACCUCUAGACGCUACCGCAGAGCCAGAGCCCAAAGCCCUCACCCCGGCCUCUGCACUUGCCCAUCUGCGUGCUCCCCCUCUCGCAAGGGGUUUCUGCAGAGGGGGCUACUGAACAGGUGGGAGACCUCCACAGAACCCUUCCAGCAAGCUGUCUUCUAAAGCAAACAAGAAAAGGAAAGUCUGAGCAGUUUUGAUUAGAUUUCCCAGAAGUCAAAGCAAGGAAAAAUGAAAAAGCUUCAUUUCUCACGUUCUUAAAAGAGAGCACAGAUGUUGCAUCAUCUGGUUAGAUACCCUGAGAAUAAAAUCUGGAUCCAGUGAGAGGAAAGAUUCUGGGUGCUCAUGAAAAAAGAAACAAAACAAAACUUGGGAGCCUCUUGAGAGUGUACAGCAUCAGCCCUUGCCAACUCUUGUUUAUAUGCAUUUAACUUUCAGUUA
ensembl:lncRNA SLC12A2-DT SLC12A2 divergent transcript